UACGGAGGGUGCAAGCGUUAUCCGGAUUCACUGGGUUUAAAGGGUGCGUAGGUGGGUCUGUAAGUCAGUGGUGAAAUCCCCGAGCUUAACUUGGGAACUGCCGUUGAUACUAUAGAUCUUGAAUAUCGUGGAGGUAAGCGGAAUAUGUCAUGUAGCGGUGAAAUGCUUAGAUAUGACAUAGAACACCAACUGCGAAGGCAGCUUACUACACGAUCAUUGACACUGAGGCACGAAAGCGUGGGGAGCAAACAGG
rnacentral:rRNA from 1 species